GAUGAACGCUAGCUACAGGCUUAACACAUGCAAGUCGAGGGGCAGCAUGGUCUUAGCUUGCUAAGGCCGAUGGCGACCGGCGCACGGGUGAGUAACACGUAUCCAACCUGCCGUCUACUCUUGGACAGCCUUCUGAAAGGAAGAUUAAUACAAGAUGGCAUCAUGAGUCCGCAUGUUCACAUGAUUAAAGGUAUUCCGGUAGACGAUGGGGAUGCGUCUGAUUAGCUUGUUGGCGGGGUAACGGCCCACCAAGGCGACGAUCAGUAGGGGUUCUGAGAGGAAGGUCCCCCCACAUUGGAACUGAGACACGGGUCCAAACUCCUACGGGAGGCAGCAGUGAGGAAUAUUGGUCAAUGGACGAGAGUCUGAACCAGCCAAGUAGCGUGAAGGAUGAAGGUCCUACGGAUUGUAAACUUCUUUAUAAGGGAUAAAACCUCCACGUGUGGGAGCUUGUAUGUACCUUAUGAAUAAGCAUCGGCUAACUCCGUG
rnacentral:rRNA from 1 species